UACAGAGGUCCCGAGCGUUGUUCGGAUUCAUUGGGCGUAAAGGGUGCGUAGGCGGCGGGGCAAGUCUGAUGUGAAAUCCCGGGGCUCAACCUCGGAACUGCAUUGGAUACUGCCUUGCUAGAGUACUGGAGAGGGAACUGGAAUUUACGGUGUAGCAGUGAAAUGCGUAGAGAUCGUAAGGAAGGCCAGUGGCGAAGGCGAGUUCCAGGACAGUUACUGACGCUGAGGCACGAAGGCCAGGGGAGCAAACGGG
rnacentral:rRNA from 1 species